ensembl:ncRNA
CGUGAUCUCUUAGUGGCAUCUA